UACGUAGGGGGCAAGCGUUGUCCGGAAUCAUUGGGCGUAAAGAGCGUGUAGGCGGUCCGGUAAGUCCGCUGUAAAAGUCAAGGGCUCAACCCUUGAAAGCCGGUGGAUACUGCCGGGCUAGAGUCCGGAAGAGGCGAGUGGAACUCCUGGUGUAGCGGUGGAAUGCGCAGAUAUCGGGAGGAACACCGGUGGCGAAGGCGGGAUCUCUGGGCCAUUACGUGACGCUGAGGAGCGAAAGCGUGGGAGCGAACGAGGA
rnacentral:rRNA from 1 species